ACAAGGUAGCAGGCUCUGUCUUGGCCUCCUCCCCCCCUCUCCAGGCCUACAAGGCCGCGGGAACAGACAGAACCUUGGACAAGGAGAAAGGUUUAAUGGAUUGGUGGCCAGAUAAACAGGAAUUGUGAUUCCAGCACUGCCUUCAAAACAUUACAAUUAAUAAUCGCCAUUUCUAAAAGGAAGAAUGGUUCACCAGAGCGUCACAAAUUAUUUCUUCUCCUGAGCUCAGAAUUCAGAGCCAAAUCAGAAGCUUACCUUGACAAAUAAAAUUUCCUUGUACGCUGUUGACUGUUCAGUAACUCGGCAGACUAAAAAGUUGAGCUCAUGCUGACUGUACUUGGAGACAAGGCAGAGGACAGCAGCCUGAUUUAUUGUCUGCAGUAAGCUGCUUCUUCCAGUCUAGGAAUGUGGUGUCUGAGGAGGCAACAGGAGCUCCUGCUGCAAUUCACAGUACUUGUGACAUGAGAAAGGGGGAGGAGCCAGGCAUUUCUGUGUGGAUGUAAUCAGAGAGUUGGGACACCACAGUCAGCCUUUCUCCACCACAUUCCCAGAGGAAAUCCAGACCAUUCUACAUUACCACUGAACCUUCAGAGGAAAAUGACACCUUUCUACAGGAUCACUGCUUCAACAGAACCACAUCUGUCACUCCAGGAGGA